rnacentral:rRNA from 1 species
CCUACGGGUGGCAGCAGUGGGGAAUAUUGGGCAAUGGGCGCAAGCCUGACCCAGCAACGCCGCGUGAAGGAAGAAGGCUCUCUGGGUUGAAACUUCCUUUCUUAGGGACGAAGAAAUUGACGGUACUUCAGGAAUAAGCCACCGCUAACUACGAGCCAGCAGCCGCGGUAAUACGUCGGUGGCAAGCGUUAUCCGGAUUUAUUGGGUGUAAAGGGCGCGUAGGCGGGAAAGCAAGUCAGAUGUGAAAACUCAGGGCUCAACCCUGGGACGGCAUUUGAUACUGUUUUUCUUGAGUGCUGGUGAGGCAAGCGGAAUUCAGGGUGUAGCGGUGAAAUGCGUAGAUAUAAGGAGGAACACCAGUGGCGAAGGCGGAUUGCUGGACAGUAACUGACGCUGAGGCGCGAAAGCGUGGGGAGCAAACAGGAUUAGAUACCCCUGUAGUC